rnacentral:misc_RNA from 1 species
GAUGAAGAACGUAGCAAAAUGCGAUAAGUAAUGUGAAUUGCAGAAUUCAGUGAAUCAUCGAAUCUUUGAACGCACAUUGCGCCCGCUGGUAUUCCGGCGGGCCUGCCUGUUCGAGCGUCAUUUCAACCCUCAAGCCCCCGGGUUUGGUGUUGGGGAUCGGCUCUGCCCUUCUGGGCGGUGCCGCCCCCGAAAUACAUUGGCGGUCUCGCUGCAGCCUCCAUUGCGUAGUAGCUAACACCUCGCAACUGGAACGCGGCGCGGCCAUGCCGUAAAACCCCAACUUCUGAAUGUUGACCUCGGAUCAGGUAGGAAUACCCGCUGAACUUAAGCAUAUCAAUAAGCGGAGGA